UAACUCUCAGAUAUCUAACUAAUGGAUUUAACAUUAAGCUUAUCAUUUACAUUUUUCCUGUUUUUAAAGUUUAAUUUUAAAAUUUUCUGAGAAAUUUGUAAAUGCUGUUAGAUUUUUGGCAUAUAAAGUUCCAUCAAAAAAGAUAUUCUAAUUCUCCAGAGUUUAUUAAUUUUACCCACUAAGUCUAGCAUAAUCUGAAUUUUUUAGUAUAUUGAAAUAUGAAACAAAUUAUAUGAUAACUUGAUCAAGCAUGGUAUUAUCUAUUAUGUUCAAAGAGAAUAACAGACUCCUUGAAAAAGUAUCCAAGGCUGUCUACUAACUGACCUCAUUAUACAUUUUCUGUAUCAUUUUCUGUCACCAAAACUGUUUAAAGGCAGUGGUCUUUGUGUACAUAGCAUCAGUGCCAUGCCUAGAGCAUAACAGACCUUUUAAUAAAUGCUUAUUCAGUCACUAAGAGGCCUUAGAGAACUCAU
rnacentral:lncRNA from 1 species